rnacentral:rRNA from 1 species
UACGUAGGGUGCGAGCGUUGUCCGGAAUUAUUGGGCGUAAAGAGCUCGUAGGCGGUUUGUUGCGUCGGCUGUGAAAUCCCGAGGCUCAACCUCGGGUCUGCAGUCGAUACGAGCAAACUAGAGUGUUGCAGGGGAGACUGGAAUUCCUGGUGUAGCGGUGAAAUGCGCAGAUAUCAGGAAGAACACCCGUGGCGAAGGCGGCUCUCUGGGACGGUACUGACGCUGAGACGCGAAAGCGUGGGGAGCGAACAGG